rnacentral:piRNA from 1 species
UAGAUCAGCUGGGAGCUGCAUUAGGU